AUUGAACGCUGGCGGAAUGCUUUACACAUGCAAGUCGAACGGCAGCACGGGGGCAGCCCUGGUGGCGAGUGGCGAACGGGUGAGUAAUACAUCGGAACGUGCCCGGUCGUGGGGGAUAACGUAGCGAAAGUUACGCUAAUACCGCAUACGAUCUGAGGAUGAAAGCGGGGGACCUUCGGGCCUCGCGCGAUCGGAGCGGCCGAUGUCAGAUUAGGUAGUUGGUGGGGUAAAGGCCUACCAAGCCGACGAUCUGUAGCUGGUCUGAGAGGACGACCAGCCACACUGGGACUGAGACACGGCCCAGACUCCUACGGGAGGCAGCAGUGGGGAAUUUUGGACAAUGGGCGCAAGCCUGAUCCAGCCAUUCCGCGUGCAGGACGAAGGCCUUCGGGCUGUAAACUGCUUUUGUACGGAACGAAAAGGCUCUGGCUAAUACCUGGGGCUCAUGACGGUACCGUAAGAAUAAGCACCGGCUAACUACGUG
rnacentral:rRNA from 1 species